CUUUUCUUGAAGAACAGUUUACUACACUAGAGCGACAACUAUGAUUUCUAAAGCCUGUCAGGCUGAAAUAGAGAAUGACAUCAGGAUUCCGUUCCAGCUUUUCCAACCGACAAUUGCUACCGAGAAAUUCAAUUAAGGACUCCUCUUCCCACUUCGAGCCGGUCUCCAGGGCAGAUCUUCCGGGCAACUCGCCCCAUGUAAGAAAUUGGAAAAUGCAACAAUAAAACAAGAAAAACUGAAAAAAGGUGCCAACUUUGAUCAGGCAUGCUCUCUCACAGUCCACCCUAAACACACAUACCCCUUUAGUUGGAAUUGGAAAGUCACCGAAAGACAGCGAAGUAGCCUACAGGAUCCAGCUGCCAAAUGAUUGCCCAUCAAGCAGCCAUGAGCAGAGUCCAGACUGUAGCUCAACGGUAGGCUGGAGUUCAGACAGAGGUGCUGCCCAACUGACAUGCACUGUAUAUGGGAUUGUCAUUGAAUGUUAUCUACAGUGCUGCUCUCAAGAGAGUCUAGCCCUCACCGGUGUCAAGGUAAGUCAACACUGCAUGUUACAUUUUGCAACCAUACUAUAGUCAUUUGAAUCCACUUCAAUAUAGCAUACAGUGUUACACAUCUUUAAAGAGUAUAAUUUUAGGUAAGUAACAUGUAUUAAGUGCCACGCACAAUUGGAGUAUCAUUAAAGUGUCUGAAUUGACCUGGCUAUGUCUACUUAAACAUGGGCCUGCUUUGUGAUAUUGCAAGC
rnacentral:lncRNA from 1 species